rnacentral:rRNA from 1 species
AACCGCUGAAAGCAUCUAAGCGGGAAACCAACUCCAAGAUUAGAUAUCCCUUUCUCCUUCGGGAGGACUAAAGACCCCUCGUAGACUACGAGGUUGAUAGGCCAGGUGUAUAAGUGUGGUAACACAUUCAGCUAACUGGUACUAAUAGGUCGUGAGGCUUGGCCAUUUUAAACC